UAAGCAUAUAAUUAAGCGGAGGAAAAGAAACUAACCAGGAUUCCCUCAGUAAGGGCGACUGAAGCGGGAAGAGCUCAGGAUGUGAAUCUGCGCCUUGGUGCGCCGAAUUGUGGUCUGUCGACGGUGGCAUUACUGGCCGGGCCAAGUCCUUUGGAACAAGGCAGCUGAGAGGGUGAGACUCCCGUCCGCCUGGCUAGGUGAGCCACUAGUCUACGAGUCGAGUUGUUUGGGAUUGCAGCUCUAAGUGGGUGGUAAAUUCCAUCUAAAGCUAAAUAUUGGUGGGAGACCGAUAGCGUACAAGUACCGUGAGGGAAAGAUGCAAAGAACUUUGAAAAGAGAGUUAAAGAGUACCUGAAAUUGCUGAAAGGGAAGCGAAGGAAACCAGUGUCGGCUCAGUCAUAUUUCCCUGUCCGCUUGCGGUUUGGGCGCUGUGUCUGGCCUGUGUCGUCCUUGGUUGGUUCUGCUGGAAGAGCGCAGUGAGAGUUGAUCUCUGUUGCUAGCAGCAGGUCUGACUGAGGAGGACGAAAUGGUUUUCUUUACCCCGUCUUG
rnacentral:rRNA from 1 species